rnacentral:rRNA from 1 species
UGGGGAAUAUUGGGCAAUGGGCGAAAGCCUGACCCAGCAACGCCGCGUGAGUGAUGAAGGCCUUCGGGUUGUAAAACUCUAUGGACAGGGACGAAGAAAGUGACGGUACCUGUAGAACAAGCCACGGCUAACUACGUGCCAGCAGCCGCGGUAAUACGUAGGUGGCGAGCGUUAUCCGGAUUUACUGGGCGUAAAGGGCGUGUAGGCGGCUAGAUAAGUGUGAUGUUUAAAUCCAAGGCUUAACCUUGGGGUUCAUUACAAACUGUUUAGCUUGAGUGCUGGAGAGGAUAGUGGAAUUCCUAGUGUAGCGGUAAAAUGCGUAGAUAUUAGGAGGAACACCGGUGGCGAAGGCGGCUAUCUGGACAGUAACUGACGCUGAGGCGCGAAAGCGUGGGGAGCAAACAGG